rnacentral:rRNA from 1 species
CUACGGGGGGCUCCAGUGAGGAAUAUUGCACAAUGGGGGGAACCCUGAUGCAGCAACGCCGCGUGGAGGAUGACGCAUUUCGGUGUGUAAACUCCUUUUAUAUGUCAAGAAAAUGACGGUAGCAUAUGAAUAAGCACCGGCUAACUCCGUGCCAGCAGCCGCGGUAAUACGGAGGGUGCAAGCGUUACUCGGAAUCACUGGGCGUAAAGGACGCGUAGGCGGGUUGGAAAGUCAGGUGUGAAAUCCUACAGCUUAACUGUAGAACUGCACUUGAAACUUCUAACCUAGAGUAUGGGAGGGGGAGAUGGAAUUAGUGGUGUAGGGGUAAAAUCCGUAGAUAUCACUAGGAAUACCUAAAGCGAAGGCGAUCUCCUGGAACAUUACUGACGCUAAGGCGUGAAAGCGUGGGGAACAAACAGGAUUAGAUACCCGGGUAGUC